ACAAAACAGAGAAAAUUGCCUUGAGGUUGAAAUUUACCAGUUUGAGGAUGCGGGCUUCGUGCAGCUGCAGGUUUAGGCUAAACCUAAUAUCUAACGCGAGAAUACAAGUAAAAACAUUUAAAGAUAAAAACCCACUAAAACUCUCCCCACAGACACUAUGUGACACAAUUUCAUCACAAAUGGAAUCAUUAGAUUUUCACAGACAAAUCAACAAACACCUUCCGUGCAUAUACAAAGUGAACCAAACUUUGAGCUAGAGAACCGCAAGUAAAUUCAUACACGAACAAGAACUCACAUAUCUUUGCGUGGAUUAAUGAGA